rnacentral:rRNA from 1 species
UACGGAGGGGGCUAGCGUUAUCCGGAAUUACUGGGCGUAAAGGGUGCGUAGGUGGUUUCUUAAGUCAGAGGUGAAAGGCUACGGCUCAACCGUAGUAAGCCUUUGAAACUGGGGAACUUGAGUGCAGGAGAGGAGAGUGGAAUUCCUAGUGUAGCGGUGAAAUGCGUAGAUAUUAGGAGGAACACCAGUUGCGAAGGCGGCUCUCUGGACUGUAACUGACACUGAGGCACGAAAGCGUGGGGAGCAAACAGG